rnacentral:rRNA from 1 species
CCCCAAACCGACACAGGUGGUCAGGUAGAGAAUACCAAGGCGCUUGAGAGAACUCGGGUGAAGGAACUAGGCAAAAUGGUGCCGUAACUUCGGGAGAAGGCACGCUGACACGUAGGUGAAGUGAUUUACUCAUGGAGCUGAAGUCAGUCGAAGAUACCAGCUGGCUGCAACUGUUUAUUAAAAACACAGCACUGUGCAAACACGAAAGUGGACGUAUACGGUGUGACGCCUGCCCGGUGCCGGAAGGUUAAUUGAUGGGGUCAGCGCAAGCGAAGCUCCUGAUCGAAGCCCCGGUAAACGGCGGCCGUAACUAUAACGGUCCUAAGGUAGCGAAAUUCCUUGUCGGGUAAGUUCCGACCUGCACGAAUGGCGUAAUGAUGGCCAGGCUGUCUCCACCCGAGACUCAGUGAAAUUGAACUCGCUGUGAAGAUGCAGUGUACCCGCGGCAAGACGGAAAGACCCCGUGAACCUUUACUAUAGCUUGACACUGAACAUUGAGCCUUGAUGUGUAGGAUAGGUGGGAGGCUUUGAAGUGUGGACGCCAGUCUGCAUGGAGCCGACCUUGAAAUACCACCCUUUAAUGUUUGAUGUUCUAACGUGGACCCGUGAUCCGGGUUGCGGACAGUGUCUGGUGGGUAGUUUGACUGGGGCGGUCUCCUCCUAAAGAGUAACGGAGGAGCACGAAGGUUGGCUAAUCCUGGUCGGACAUCAGGAGGUUAGUGCAAUGGCAUAAGCCAGCUUGACUGCGAGCGUGACGGCGCGAGCAGGUGCGAAAGCAGGUCAUAGUGAUCCGGUGGUUCUGAAUGGAAGGGCCAUCGCUCAACGGAUAAAAGGUACUCCGGGGAUAACAGGCUGAUACCGCCCAAGAGUUCAUAUCGACGGCGGUGUUUGGCACCUCGAUGUCGGCUCAUCACAUCCUGGGGCUGAAGUAGGUCCCAAGGGUAUGGCUGUUCGCCAUUUAAAGUGGUACGCGAGCUGGGUUUAGAACGUCGUGAGACAGUUCGGUCCCUAUCUGCCGUGGGCGCUGGAGAACUGAGGGGGGCUGCUCCUAGUACGAGAGGACCGGAGUGGACGCAUCACUGGUGUUCGGGUUGUCAUGCCAAUGGCACUGCCCGGUAGCUAAAUGCGGAAGAGAUAAGUGCUGAAAGCAUCUAAGCACGAAACUUGCCCCGAGAUGAGUUCUCCCUGAGACUUUAGGUCUCCUGAAGGAACGUUGAAGACGACGACGUUGAUAGGCCGGGUGUGUAAGCGCAGCGAUGCGUUGAGCUAACCGGUACUAAUGAACCGUGAGGCUUAACCUUACA